AAACAGCUCCAGUGCACCAUUUUCAUGUUGACCGGUCCUCAAAGUCCUGCAGCCAGCCGCCCUCCAGAGGUCACUGAAAGAUGAAGUUGGGAGGAUGAUCAUUUCCUGGCACAGCUCGUGGAUGAGGUCACUGUAGGAAAAGGAAGCGGAAUGUACUUGCCUGACCUGUCAACUGGAUAUAGGAAAUGUGAAUCGUCAUCUCGGAGCAAGCCGGCACAGGAACACACACCCCGGGAUGGAUGAAUGGCGGGCCUAAAAGCAACACAGGGCUCCUAUUGAUGACAUCAUCAUUGGGCAUCUGGUCACUCCACCCUUUCCACCUUCAGAGAAC